rnacentral:rRNA from 1 species
UCCGUAGGUGAACCUGCGGAAGGAUCAUUAACACAACAUAAUGAAAAACACCUAAACCAUUAGUGCUUGAGGGAUAGAUUAAUUAAUUUUUUUCUCUUUCUCAUUCAUUAAACUAAACUUUUUUACAAAUUUUUGUAUUUACAAAAAAUUUUAAAAAUUAAAAAUCAAUUUAAAAAUUUUCAACGGUGGAUAUCUUGGUUCCCAUAUCGAUGAAGAACGCAGCCAAAUGCGAUACGCAAUGCGAAUUGCAGAAUUCCGCGAGUCAUCAGAUCUUUGAACGCAAGUGGCGCUGGGUUAAACAAUACCCCAGCAUGUUUGUUUCAGUGUGUUAGGAAUCAUAAAUCUUAAUGCGUUUGAAAAGCCUUGGUUUUUCUCACGUUAAACAUGAAAGCGCUGAAUCGUUCAGUGCCGACCGAAGUAGUCACUUCUUAGCAAGUGAUCUCGGUUGUGCAUAACUGGAGAUUCACUUAAAGCGUCUUUUUUUAAAAUAAAUUAAUUUCUCCAUUCAACACCUGAAAUCAAGCAAGAUCACCCGCUGAACUUAAGCAUAUCAGUAAGCGGAGGAAAAGAAACUAACAAGGAUUCCCCUAGUAACUGCGAGUGAAGCGGGAUGAGCUCAAAUUUUAAAUCUGGCGGCUCCGUCGCCCGAGUUGUAAACUGGAGAAGCGUUUUCCGUGCCGGACCGUGUACAAGUGCCUUGGAACAGGACGUCAUAGAGGGUGAGAAUCCCGUCUUUGACACGGACCCCCGGUGCUCUGCGAUGCGCUCUCGAAGAGUCGAGUUGUUUGGGAAUGCAGCUCAAAAUGGGUGGUAAAUUCCAUCUAAAGCUAAAUAUUGGCGAGAGACCGAUAGCGAACAAGUACCGUGAGGGAAAGAUGAAAAGCACUUUGGAAAGAGAGUAAAACAGUACGUGAAAUUGUUGAAAGGGAAACGCUUGAAGU